AGAGUUUGAUCAUGGCUCAGGAUGAACGCUAGCUACAGGCUUAACACAUGCAAGUCGAGGGGCAGCAUCAUCAAAGCUUGCUUUGAUGGAUGGCGACCGGCGCACGGGUGAGUAACACGUAUCCAACCUGCCGACAACACUGGGAUAGCCUUUCGAAAGAAAGAUUAAUACCGGAUGGCAUAGUUUUCCCGCAUGGGAUAAUUAUUAAAGAAUUUCGGUUGUCGAUGGGGAUGCGUUCCAUUAGGCAGUUGGCGGGGUAACGGCCCACCAAACCUACGAUGGAUAGGGGUUCUGAGAGGAAGGUCCCCCACAUUGGAACUGAGACACGGUCCAAACUCCUACGGGAGGCAGCAGUGAGGAAUAUUGGUCAAUGGACGAGAGUCUGAACCAGCCAAGUAGCGUGAAGGAUGACUGCCCUAUGGGUUGUAAACUUCUUUUAUACAGGAAUAAAGUGAGCCACGUGUGGCUUUUUGUAUGUACCGUAUGAAUAAGGAUCGGCUAACUCCGUGCCAGCAGCCGCGGUAAUACGGAGGAUUCGAGCGUUAUCCGGAUUUAUUGGGUUUAAAGGGAGCGUAGGCGGGUUGUUAAGUCAGUUGUGAAAGUUUGCGGCUCAACCGUAAAAUUGCAGUUGAUACUGGCGACCUUGAGUGCAACAGAGGUAGGCGGAAUUCGUGGUGUAGCGGUGAAAUGCUUAGAUAUCACGAA
rnacentral:rRNA from 1 species